rnacentral:rRNA from 1 species
GACAGAGGUGCCAAGCGUUAGGCGGAAUCACUGGGCUUAAAGCGUGUGUAGGCGGAUUUGUAAGUACCUUGUGAAAUCCCACGGCUCAACCGUGGAACUGCUCGGUAUACUGCUUAUCUUGAGCCACUUAGGGGCUACCGGAACAAAUGGUAGAGCGGUGAAAUGCGUAGAUAUCAUUUGGAACGCCAAUGGUGAAAACAGGUAGCUGGGAGUGUGCUGACGCUGAGACACGAAAGCCAGGGGAGCGAACGGG